rnacentral:lncRNA from 11 species
GCCAGAUUGAAAGCUGGAAAUAUUUUCUGUAGGUGUAAUGGUUGUGUAGAAGAAGGGAUUUCAACAAGAGUUGCUCAUUACUUGGCUGCAUGUCAAGCAGCAGUUGCUGAAAUUCCCUUUUCUGCACAACCAUUCAAAGUACCGGAACCCUCUUCUAGUGUUAAAAGGCAAAAAUCUCAAAGAGUGAAUCUAUCAUGCAGAAUUAAUACAGUUUGGCCACCUCUUAACUGCCAUAGUGCAAUGCUAUGGAAUUACUGGACUUGUCGUUUUAUAAGGUUUUUACCUUUCUUUCCCAAAGAGCGCUGGUGUCAAACUUCCAGGAUUCCAUUACAUUGAACCCUGAUAGUUAAAAUGGUGUCAAACAGGAUUAAUUCUACAAUGAAGAUGCACCCUAACUUGGACCUUUGGGAGGUGGGGUGGGACAAUGUCUUCUGAUGUAGGUUGACUCUGCUCUCUAGAUUAGCUGAUGAGCUGGACACCUGCAUACUGAGCUGAACACCUUAUCUUUUGUACCAAGUUACAAAUUCAAUAAUAACUAUCCCUCUUGCCCAACCCUCAGGUUCCUUGAAAAUAUAAGUUUGGGGAUGUAAAAAUGGCAAGUACAACUACUAAGUAACUGAGGAGGCCAUAAUGACUGAACAAAGCUUGCAGUUGAUGCAUAUGCGCUAGCUGCAAAAAGGGAUCCAAUAUUGCUGCUGUAAUUUGAGAAUUAAACAGCAGGUGGAGAUCUGAAAGCAUCCCCUGAUCCAGCAGCUGCAAUGGCUGCUGAACACCAUUCUAUGGAUUUGUUUACUGUGUAUGGUGUGAUGUCUCAGGGACCCUCGAGUCAUGACCCCGUAGCCAUUAUGGAUGAGACUGAAGAAGAUAUGGGGUUUGUGCCGACUCAACAAGAUUCAGCUUCCUUCCAGAUGUCCCCUGUUGACAGUUUUAGCCCACAGUUAAUUACAAAAGUCCUUGAAACAGAGCCUGGUUCUCCGGAGAGCGCUCCUUUUGAUAGGAAAUUGUUUUUGGAAACAUUCCGCUCUGAGAAGGAGAAUAGGAGAAAAAGCGCCAGAUUAGCGGAGAGAGCAAACGCUAAUUAAACCAGUUCCCUUGAGAGUUUCCAGGGAGGCUUGCAUCUGGCAAGUUGUUGUCUUCAGUCCGCUUUCCCUUGAGAAAAAGUGUUCAGGCACCUGAUUUGAAGUCACAUAAAAGUUCUGCACGCAGGCUGGCCUUUGCGGUGUCAACGUGUCAGUUGAGAACUUAACAUCGCCUCAAGUUCCUCUCAAGUAGACUGGACACUGCGUCUCGUCUCCCUGCCAAGUCUGGACUGCGAUUCAGUUCCACCACGACUAACUUGCCUUGCCUUGUUAACCUAGCCUCGAACAUUGAUCCUGGUGCUCUUGAAAGACCUUGCUCUUUUCCCCACUCAAACUGCUUGGAAGUUUGAGUGUGUUUCGGUAUUUGGAUUUAAAACUUUGAACUCUAAUAUUGGACAUCUAACUUCAUAUUACUGGACUAUAUUUGACCUUUCCUAAAAGGACUAUUGCUGGACUAUAUACUCUGUUUAUUUUUGUUUAACUCUUAUUUCCUUAAUAAAGAUAUUAGAUUGUUUAUUGGCCUCUGUGUCUGGUUCCCAGUGCUCUCGCAGCUUAGAGUCGUCACAUAUGUAAUAAAAAUGUUUUAAAAAUAAUAAUUUCUGCACUAUUUUGUCUUUUUAAAAAACUGUAUCUUUUUAAUUUUUGUAAUCACAUGGUGUACAGAGACUGCCAUGUCUGGUUCUAAGAGAUUUUGUUUUUGUUUUUGUCAUCCAGAGUGCUUGUUGUUAUUGUGUUACGUCAUUUGCAUACCUUCCAAAACUUGGACUUUUCUUGUCACAGAUGGACGAUAAUAUUUAUACUGUCAUUGCCUCCUAUGAUAGAGGCACUUCAACACAUCUGGAAACUGGAUAGAAAAGGCUAUGCUAAAUAUGGGAUAUAAUCUGCUCAGUCACUGAGCUGCACUUCUCUCUGCAAAUCAGGAAGAAAAUCAAUUCAUCUGGAAUGGGGUGCUUGUGAUGACUCAUGGGCCUUGUAGUCCUGUUCCUAGUACUAUUGUGGCAGAUGAAGAUGAAAACAUGGGGUUUUCGCCGGUUCAACAAGAACUGGAGUCUCUUCACCUGCCGGAUGUUGAUGUUUGCCCUCAAGAAUUCAGUAAACCAGGCCUUGGGCAGUACUCCCCUCCGUUUCCCAGGAAGGAAUUUUAUUCUAAAGACAGGGGAGUCAGAGAAGCUAAUCGGAGAAGUCUAAGAAUCGCUGCCAAACAAAUGGCUGAUUAGGUCUGCUUCCCUUGGGAAAUUCUAAGGAGUCUUGCAUCUGGACAGAGUUGGGUUUCGCUUCUCGUUCUCUAGGGAAAGAGUUCUGUUGGCGGGAAAACGAGACCCAAUAUAGGUGUUUGGCGCGAGGGUUUCUUUGCGGAGUCAAUUGAUCAGCUUCAGGAGAGAGAUCGUGUGUGGACUUCAUAAUCCCAGUUCCUUGCUUCCCGGAUCAAGCUUCAAGCCUUGCCCUGCCUCGCGGUUUUACCACGGACCCUGCUUCAUGCUUCAUGUUUUGCCUUGUCUCCAGUCACGGACCUAGUCAAGAAUCAAGUUUAUUUCCAGCCUUGUUGUCAAGCUUCAUUGGACUCUAAGACUCUGUUAUUUCCCCACACUAUUGCUUGGCAAAGUGUGUGUUUCGGUCAAGUGGAUUAAAACUUUGAACUCUAAUAUCAUUUAUUGGACAAUACAUUUUUGGACUAUAUUUGACCUCAUUUGAAAGGUCUGCUUCUGAACUAUAUCCUUCACUUGUUUUUAUUGAUUUUAUAUAUUUCUUUAAUAAAGAUAUUAGAUAGAGACUGGCCUCUGUGUAAGGUUAUUGGUGCCCAGCUGCCAGGGUUCUGACAGUGCUAGAGAAGAUUUCUGUGGAUGCCAUAGCCUACUGAAAAGACAAAUAAAUAGGUCUUACAGCAAAUCAGUCUUAAACUCCCUGUAGAAGCCAAGGCACCAUAUUUUGGGCAUAUUAUGAGAAGACUUAACUCACUAGAAAAGUCAGUAAUGUUUGGGAAGGCAGAAGGCAGCAGAAAAAGGGAAAAUUGCAUUCCAGUGUAUAGACUCAAUCAAAAACACUACCCCCUCAUACAUACAUGCGUACAUACUUAUGGAGUUUUCUUAUCUGUAACA